UACGUAGGGGGCAAGCGUUGUCCGGAUUUAUUGGGCGUAAAGCGCUCGUAGGUGGUUCGUUGCGUCGUGCGUGAAAGACCCCGGCUCAACUGGGGAGGGUCGUGCGAUACGGGCGAACUGGAGGCCAGUAGGGGGAUGCGGAAUUCCGGGUGUAGUGGUGGAAUGCGUAGAGAUCCGGAGGAACACCAGCGGCGAAGGCGGCAUCCUGGACUGGUCCUGACACUCAGGAGCGAAAGCGUGGGGAGCGAUCCGG
rnacentral:rRNA from 1 species